rnacentral:lncRNA from 1 species
AAACAAGAGAAAUAAAAGAAACAGAAAGAGCACCUGGCCCUGAUGGGAAGGUCUGUGAUUUGAUAUCUAAUUGCCAAUUCUUGACAGGAUCUUCCUACUUCUCCAAGGUGAUGUGGCCUUUCAGCUACAAUUUAGUUACCGUGGCAACCUUAUUCCAGGUUUCAUCUCCAUGGCAAUUCAUUAGAGUUUUUCACCCUCUGAGCACAUCUUGCUGGCGGGGUACAUCAGACCCUAGAAGUAUACCCCUGACUCAGACGACGUGACAUGGAAAACUUAAACUGGUCUCUGAGGGGCUGGGGAUGUGGCUCAAGCGGUAUCGCGCUCGCCUGGCAUGCGUGCGGCCUGGGUUCGAUCCUCAGCCCCACAUACAAACAAAGAUGUUGUGUCCGCUGAAAACUAAAAAAUUAAA